UACGGAGGAUCCAAGCGUUAUCCGGAAUUACUGGGCGUAAAGAGUUGCGUAGGUGGCAUUGUAAGCAGGUAGUGAAAGCGUUCGGCUCAACCGGAUACACAUUACUUGAACUGCAAAGCUAGAGGACAAGAGAGGUCACUGGAAUUCCUAGUGUAGGAGUGAAAUCCGUAGAUAUUAGGAGGAACACCGAUGGCGUAGGCAGGUGACUGGCUUGUUCCUGACACUAAGGCACGAAAGCGUGGGUAGCAAACGGG
rnacentral:rRNA from 1 species